rnacentral:rRNA from 1 species
UACAGAGGGUGCGAGCGUUAAUCGGAAUUACUGGGCGUAAAGCGCACGUAGGUGGUUUUGUAAGUCGGAUGUGAAAGCCCCGGGCUCAACCUGGGAAUGGCGAUGGAUACUGGCUCGCUAGAGUGCGGUAGAGGAGAGUGGAAUUCCCGGUGUAGCGGUGAAAUGCGCAGAUAUCAGGAGGAACACCGGUGGCGAAGGCGGGUCUCUGGGCCGAUACUGACGCUGAGGAGCGAAAGCGUGGGGAGCGAACAGG